rnacentral:lncRNA from 1 species
AAGAUGUUUGUCCUAACAGUGUGCAGCAAAAUGGGAUCAAGUUGUAGAACUCUCAGAUAACUCUCCAGCACCAUGUCCACCUGUGUACUACCAUGCUUGCCACCACUGACAAUAAUGGACUAAACCUCUGAACUGUCUGUCCUGUGAUGAUGAAUGCUCUCUUAAAUCCUGCCUUUUCUGUCACCAUCUUGUCCGGAUGCUCUGCCUUCCAGUGAUCUCCCUUAAAGAGCUGCAGAAAUUUGGCCUGAGUGCCAGUGGUGUCCUUCACUCUCCAGAAAUGCAGCUCACCACGGAUCCACUUCAAGUUCUGGAGAUGCAUGCAGAGAUCUUGAAUCCAAAGACAGCAGCAUUUCCCAUCCGUGGUAGUCUGAGCAGGCUGAAAAUAAGUGAAACCUAAGG